rnacentral:rRNA from 1 species
GAUGAACGCUGGCGGCGUGCCUAAUACAUGCAAGUCGAGCGAACAGACGAGGAGCUUGCUCCUCUUACGUUAGCGGCGGACGGGUGAGUAACACGUGGAUAACCUACCUAUAAGACUGGGAUAACUUCGGGAAACCGGAUCUAAUACCGGAUAAUAUAUUGAACCGCAUGGUUCAAUAGUGAAAGACGGUUUUGCUGUCACUUAUAGAUGGAUCCGCGCCGCAUUAGCUAGUUGGUACGGUAACGGCUUACCAAGGCAACGAUGCGUAGCCGACCUGAGAGGGUGAUCGGCCACACUGGAACUGAGACACGGUCCAGACUCCUACGGGAGGCAGCAGUAGGGAAUCUUCCGCAAUGGGCGAAAGCUUGACGGAGCAACGCCGCGUGAGUGAUGAAGGUCUUCGGAUCGUAAAACUCUGUUAGUAGGGAAGAACAAAUGUGUAAGUAACUAUGCACGUCUUGACGGUACCAAAUCAGAAAGCCACGGCUAACUACGUG